rnacentral:misc_RNA from 1 species
CAAUAAGUGUUCAAUGGCACUUUUAAAAUCCAUUACCCACCUUGUGUGCAAUGUAAGGAGGAGGGGGGUCUGCCUCCCUCUUUCCAUUAUAUAUACCAAUUCUUCUCUUGUUGUCUACUUUUUGAGUAUAAAAAACUCGAAUA